rnacentral:rRNA from 1 species
GAUGAACGCUGGCGGCGUGCCUAAUACAUGCAAGUCGAGCGAACGGACGAGAAGCUUGCUUCUCUGAUGUUAGCGGCGGACGGGCGAGUAACACGUGGAUAACCUACCUAUAAGACUGGGAUAACUUCGGGAAACCGGAGCUAAUACCGGAUGAUAUUUUGAACCGCAUGGUUCAAAAGUGAAAGACGGUCUUGCUGUCACUUAUAGAUGGAUCCGCGCUGCAUUAGCUAGUUGGUAAGGUAACGGCUUACCAAGGCAACGAUGCAUAGCCGACCUGAGAGGGUGAUCGGCCACACUGGAACGGAGACACGGUCCAGACUCCUACGGGAGGCAGCAGUAGGGAAUCUUCCGCAAUGGGCGAAAGCCUGACGGAGCAACGCCGCGUGAGUGAUGAAGGUCUUCGGAUCGUAAAACUCUGUUAUUAGGGAAGAACAUAUGUGUAAGUAACUGUGCACAGCUUGACGGUACCUAAUCAGAAAGCCACGGCUAACUACGUG